rnacentral:lncRNA from 1 species
CCUAGACCUAAUAACAGAAGCGACGCCCCCCUCUACUGUCCUUCUUUUUCGCUUGAAACUCGCCUCAACUCGCCUGAGUGUUGAAUGAGUUCACUCAUUGGUCCCCCCUCCAUGUCACCUUAUCCUCAACGGAUUUGUCAGAGGAGUACGAAUUUUCUCUCCAGAAUUGCACGAUUCUCGUACAGAAGGACAAUUGGUGGACGAAUGGGAGCCGUGGAUAGAUGUAAAUCGAUUCACGCCCUCCAUUUUUCCCAAAAUUGUUCAAAAAUUUGAAGAUUUUCGGAUAUUUUGAGCAGAAGAUUCGAGAAUUUUCGAGGGUUAUAUAUAGGAGGUAAGUUUUCUUUUUCAAGGUUUUGAGGAAAAUAGAGAGAAAAAUAUAAAGAGAAAAUCGGGAAAAAUCUUCAGAGCCUAGUCGAAAUUUCUAGGGUUUUAGCGACCGUUCUGCUUCAAGUUUUUUUUUUGAGUCUAUUUCUCUGUUUUCAAAAGAAGAUAAAAAAGAUGGCUUGAGUUUUUGGCCCGCAUUUGAGUUCAUAUUACCAAAAAAAAAAUCCAGAAGCAAAACUUUCUAGCCUUAUUUCGUUUUUCUUGAUUUCUUGGUUCUAAAAGAAGGUUUUGGAUCGAAUUUCGAGUUUAAGUUUGUGGUUGGGUUCCGAAAUUUUGUUAUUUUGGAUUUUCUGUCCAAUUUUUGGUCGAGAUUCGGAUUUGCUCGGUUGGUCUGUGGAGUUGCUGUUUUUGUUGCUGAAUCUCUCCUCCCAUUUCAGAGCUUUCUUUUGAUAUUUUUCAGUUAUUUUGCCAAUAGGUAUGUUCUCCUUAAAAUACCUUCAGAACUUUUUUUUGGAUGUGUAAUUAUGGAUUUUGUUUUAGCCUAUUCACUUGUAAUUACUUGAAUAUGGGAUUGUCUUUUAGUUCGUUUCUGUUGUUGCUAUCAAAACUUAUUGGGUUUGAUUUAUUUUCAGCAUUGAACAGAGUGUUUGUAGCUUGAUAAAAAUGAGAUUUUUGUUGGAACUUAGAUAUCUUUGUUUUGCUGGUGUUAAUCUUUUGGUCUUGUUCUAGAUAGCGUGAAAAUGUUUGAUUUGUUUCCCUUACUCUGUUGAAUUUGGGUCAUACGUGGUAAGUUUCAAACUAAGGUCAACUAUUCUAUUUUGAUUCUUGUUCAAAGCUGUACGCCAUUUAAAGCUUACUAAGAAAUAUUUAUAUAGUUGAAAUCAUGGUCAAAACAUCAGUCUCUCUUUUUGGAUCCACAAGUUCAAGCAAAUGACCAUGGGAGCAGUAAAAGAGUUAAUUUGUUGAAAAAAGGUGAAUUAAUAAGGUUUGGUUAAAUGGGUUAAAAUUCCAUGCUUUGAACAUUACUAGGCUUGAUUUUCUUUCUUAGCUUUUGUUUACCUUUUAUUAUACUCUGUUCUUUUUGUUUCUCUUAAAAUAUUCGUUCUUGUCGUAUUCUUGUGUUAAGCUAAGUGUUAAGGACAGAAAUAAAAGAAUUGGGUUUUAACUUUAAAAGGAAAAAACGUUGGACAGGGAAUGUCGUUUUCUUAUGAAUGGAUGAGAUGCUUGAGGAUUACUCUGUUUUCUGGAAGCCUUCAAAUGGAGUGAAUGUAGGCCAAUUGAAUGGCACUUGCUGAAACUCCAAGUUUGAAAAGAUAGAAUUUAUUUGUACAAUUUUACUUUUAAAGUUGGGGUCUAUGCAAUUCAUUAUGGUAUUCCGAAAGAUUUGUACAUAAUGUUAUGUUAACAUAAUUCAUGAUAUUACUGAUUAAGAGACAAUUUUAUAGACAUUUGGUUGAACCUUUACUUGUUUGAAUAUUGGUCAAGCCAUGGACAAUAAUUUACCUUUUGUCUCUUCCGUAUGAAUUCAUGGACUCUUGCUUUAGGCAUUUACAAAGUCAAGAAUGUGAAAGUCAUCCUGUUAUUUUGCUUUCCAUUCUCCUUGCUGGAAAUUCAAAACACCUUUAUACUUAUGAAAGUGCAAUUCGUUAAUUUAGAAUAAGCUUUACUGCAUCAUUGGUUCAAGCGAGCUUUAUAUUAAGCUUAAUCUCUGCGCAUUUAUCCACGGGUCAUUUCUAUGAAUUUCUGAGCUUGUCACAUGAUCCCAAAUUAGCAUUAGAAUAACAACUCAUGAAUACUCGUAGUUUGCUUUAGGCUCGAUUUAGACUAGUAUUGUAAUCAUGUAUACGUUCGCGUAACAUAAUUGCAAAUUUAAUUCUUAAAAAACUCGAGGUAUGCAUUAGCGCAACUUCAACGAAAUUUUCUUAGUAAAUAAAUAAAGCGUUAUUAAUUGUGGACACGUUCGCGUGACAUGGUUUUUGACGCGCCAAAAGUAAAGAGUAUACGUACAUGUAACUCAAUUCUUUAAUUACGAAUAAAUCAAGUUUUUUUACAAGCGGUAAAAUAUAAUUGCACAUAGAUCUUAAAAAUGAGUAGUUAAACAAUUAAGACAAAUAUAAAUUUCUAAGCGACCGUGCUAGAACCACGGAAUCUGGGAAUGCCUAACACCUUCUCCCAGGUUAACAGAAUUCCUUACCUAGAAUUUCUAGUUCACAGACUCUUUAAAAAUAAAACUUCCUCGAUUUGGGAUUUAAAAUAAACCGGUGACUUGGGACACCAAAUAAUUUAUUCCAAGUGGAGAAUCUGAAUAAUGUCACUUAAAUUGGAAAAACUCCCUUAUAUACCCUCGGGGUGUGUAAAAAAAAGGAGGUGUGACAGCUCUGGCGACUCUGCUGGGGAUCGAACCCAGAAUCUCUGGUUCAGGGUUCAAGAAUUCGAGCCUGUUAAUGCAAUUUUUAUUUGGCUUUAUUAUUGAUAUUACUGUAUUUUGUGGACUUAAUGUGCUAAUUGCCAUUUACCGCUUUGAUAUUACUUGAACUAUAUUUAAAUGUCUUCUUAAAAAGAAAGAAAGGAAAAUGUAUUUCAAAACGAGUGAGUCAAAUAUCAUAUUUUUAUAACAAAACUGCCCGAACUACGCAGGUUUGAUUCUCACCGGAUGUGGGAUACGUAGGCAACUCACAUAAGGUUCGGCCUCAUUUUACCAAAUAAUAAAAUAAAAAGGUAUUUUAGGGCUUUGGUCAAAACAAUAUGUCGACCCGGCUUCGGUUGUAUUUAAGUCAUUUCUCCGCGGAAUAGCUUUAGAUUACAUUCCAAUUGUCGAAAGGCUAUUUUCGAGAGGAACAGGCAAAAGGUGUCUUUUCCAAUAAAAUACCUAGCCCCCGGCCUCAAAAUUCGUUUGGAAUUGUGAAGGGGGCACGUUUGCAAAAACGACCAUUUCUUGCUGACAUAGAAAUAAAAGGGGGCCUUGUCCAUUGAUAUUUUCUUAGGAAAAAAACUUUUUUUGCAAAGAAAGUCCACAAGAGUCAACCCUAACCUUGACCCUCCACAGGUACAAAUGAAUACCGUCAAAGAAUCGUCGCAAAUUGUCAUAGAAAGGGCUCGGAUGCAGGUACGUAAGUGGUGGGGUGAUUUAGAUGAAGAUGGCCAUGUUUGGGUAAAAGAGAAGUUGGGUCCCUUGGUAGACAUCAUGCACAUCAAGCCACGAGAGGAUUUAAUUAAGGCUUUGGUAACCUUUUGGGAUCCCGUUUCUCGGAUUUUGAGCUCACACCCACUCUGGAAGAAAUAACUGGGUAUAUUGAUUUCGGCCAAGAGUUACGAAAGCAGUAGCUCAUAUUCCCCAGGGCUCCCUCAGUGCACAAAUUCUUCGAUCUUUUGAAAAUUAGCAAAUAAAUGAGCAAGGACUAUGUGAUCAAAGGGAGUUGUGUGUUCUACUUCUUUUAUUUCAUGUUUGGACACUCGGCCGGGUUUGAAACACAUGAGAAGGGGUUGAGUAACAAACAGGACAAGAGCAUAUGGCAAAUUCAUCGACGGUUUGCUUUCAUCGUGGCAUUUCUGGGAAUCAUGUUAUUUCCGAAUUCUGGGGUACAAUAGACCUUUGUAUGGCCAGAAUCGCACAGGUCCUCAUCAACAAAAAAGAUCACACACUUGUCCCAUUAGUGCUGGCGGACAUUUAUCGGGCAUUAACCAUGUGCAAAUCUGGGGGUCAAUUUUUCGAAGGCUGCAAUAUUCUUCUUCAGAUGUGGAUGAUUGAACACCUUCGUCGUCAUCCUAAGUUCAUGAUAUAUGCUUCAGACGGGAACAAUUUCAUCAAAAAGUAUGAGGAAAGGGUGGAAGAUUACAAACCACCGGAAGGGUUUGAAGCAUGGGUUUCCUAUUUGAGAAAAUUGAGAGCAGAUCAAAUUGAAUGGACCAUAGGAUGGCUCCCAAAAACAGAAAUCAUCUACAUUACCCUUUCAAAGGGAUACUUGAUGAUGAUGGGAGCGAGAAGUAUACAACCAUAUGUACCACAAAGAGUUCUGAGACAACUGGGAAGAUAUCAGGUGAUACCCGAAGAGGCAGACCUAAGCACUCAAGUCAUUGAACUACACCCAGAAGCAACGAUACCCGAGACUUUAGUUCAAAGAGACUAGAAUUGUUGUCGGUAUCUAAAAAGUAACACCCAAGUGCCAGACCUAGCUAAGGGCGAAGUUGAUCCCAAAUAUGCUGCUUGGUUUGAAAGGAGUUUUUAUGUGUACAAUGAGCCGGAGCCUGAGCCCAAACCUGUGAGGCCCGCCAAAAGGCCCCAUGUUCAGGCUUUUUGAUGACAAAAUUCAGGAAAGUUUAGCCUGGGGGGAAAAGGAAAAGGAAUAUCAGGCCAUCAUCCAUGAUCUGCGAGAAGAGUUGAGAAAUGUCACCUUCAACAAUGAUUUACAGGCACAAGAGGCCGAAGGUGAGAGGAGAAGAUUGGUUCGAGAAAAUGAAGCUCUCAGGGCCCAGGUUCGACAACUGAAAAUAGCAGCCGAGAAUCCGGGCCGAAGCAGGAAAGAUGAAAGGCUCAUUUAUAACCUUACUCAAAAGGUGCGUGACUAUGAAGAUGACCUGCAGAAAGAUGACUCUGAACUAGCAAAAGCACGAACGAGGUUAGCUAAAAAUGCCGAAGGGCGUGCAGCUUUCAUUCAAUAGAUGAAAGAAAGAUAUGAAAAGAGGUCAGAGGUUGGGAAAAGGCGAUUGGCAACCUCGAAGGUGAAAUGGCUAAACAAGCCAAAAAUUUUAAGGCCAAGAGAGAACAUUGUUACACCUUAAUGGCACGGUUGGAAGAGGACUUACAGCGCUUGUAAGAGCAAAAUCACGCUGCCACUCAGGUUUUAGAGGCUAGAUCCCGUCAGAUUGGUCGUUUGUUGCAAGAGAAGGGCAUCAUAAGAGAGAGGGUUCGAAGGAUUGCUGACUACAUCACCAUGAAAUGCAGUGCGUGUGAGGACAUGACAAGAUCCAUGUUUUUCGCCACUGUAAUGAUCUUCGUCCGUCAGAUAAUGGAAGAACUCUAUCGGCUCUAAGAUGACAUGGCAAGUAGGCCCGCUGCAAGACCGGUUGGUGUUCCUAGGGCAGGGUUGAAGGCGCUAAUAUUGUCUUGAUUGUAUUUUCUUCCUUUUUCCGAGUCUGCAUUUUCAUAUUUCGAGUUUGUUUUAAGUUCCUAGAAAAGGCAUGUCCUGAGUCUUAAAGUCCUAGAAAAGGUGUGUUUUGAGUUUUUUGUAAUUCAGUAAAGUUGUAUUAAUGAAAAAUUGAAAAAAAACCACAAAAAUUGUUCUUUUAUUUUUUUCAUUUACUUCUUGAACUAUGUUAUGAUCUAAUUCGCGCGGCGUCGUGAUACGUAGGCAAUCCUCAUCGGACCCGGUCAUGUUUUUGUAAACAAUUUAAAUAAAAGAGGGAAAAACCAUAAGAAAAACCAAAAAGAAAGAAAAUAGAGUCAAAGAAAAAUCAAAACAAGAAAAAGGAGAGAAAGGAAAGAGAAGAGAGGAAAAUAAGAAAUAACCGAUGAGGCAAGAAGAGAAAAUUGGGGAAAAUAAGCAAAACUGGGAUGAAACAUGCAACUGUUGCGAAACAUGUAGAAACACGUUUAACUGUAUAGGUGCAUCACACCCCAACGUGCGAUUUCCUAUGUGUUAUUUGUUUCAAAAUAACCAGUUGGUUGUCUACUGUCAAGUCCAGGUUCUAUAGUAAGGUGUUUGGUUUUGUGGUAGUCUGGCUUCGCAUCCAUACUUCACGAGGUCGAAAGGUAGCAUUGAAAUUUCUUCAGAAAUCACUCUUCCAACAGUUCCUAUCACAGAUGAAAGUCCGAUCUAGGGCAUCCCGACAUCGGAAUCGGCGGUUGACGAGGAAAACAGGUUACUGCGUCUCCGUAUGAUAGAAAUGUGCGACGCCUGGUCAAACGAAAGAGAGCCACCAAGUGUAAUCCUCGGAUUUCCCGAGCUUUUUCCUAGGGUAGGUGGAACCUCCAAUAUCCCGAUCAGUCACCCCAAUACCCCACUCGGAUAUCCUACCAUCUCGGCCCACUUUGUUGGAACACCUUCUGAGGUUCGCCCCCAGGUGUUAGCUUCAGGAGCGGCUUCAAAUAUUUUCACUGCUCCGCCAUGCUCAGCUACUACACAACCUACGCUGCCCAGGCCCAGCCUUGAUCCAUCAUCCUUCACCUUCCAAACACCAUCUUUCCCACUGGAGCCUGCACAGUUUCCCACUUAUACUUACUCUCAACCACCCCGAUAUGAGUUCUCUGCAGGGCAAGAAAAGAUCACCAAAACUCCUGAGCAAGAAACGAUUGCGAGAAAGAUGAGGAGUAUGGAACAGAGUCUCAAAAGCAUACAAGGCUUGAGUGGACAAAAAUGUUUAUCCUAUGAUGACUUAUGUAUGUUCCCUCAUGUGCAUCUACCAUUGGGAUUCAAAACCCCAAAAUUUGAGAAGUAUGAUGGGCACGAUGAUCCUAUUGUUCAUCUCAAGAGAUAUUGCAACCAGCUGCUCUAGAGCCGGUGGAAAGGAAGAACUCCUCAUGGCCUAUUUCGGAGAAAGUCUUGUUGGCAUCGCAUCUAAGUGGUACAUGGACCAAGAUAUAUCCCGCUGGCACAUUUGGGAUAAUCUUGCUAGAGAUUUCGUCAGACAGUUCCAGUACAACAUUGACAUUGCUCCAGAUAGGAACUCAUUGACAAACAUGAAGAAGAAAUCCUCGGAAAGCUUCUGAGAGUAAGCAGUUAAAUGGCAUGAGCAGGCCUCCAGGGUAAAACCUUCGAUGGACGAGAUUGAAAUGGUCACAGUUUUUUCCAAGCCCAGGAAGCUGACUACUUCCAAAAUAUGAUGUCCGCAAUGGGUAAACCGUUCGCUGAAGCCAUCAAGAUUGUCAAAAUGGUUGAAAAUUGUUUGAAAACGGGUAGAAUUCUAAGCCAAUCCGCUAUCAGAGCUACCUCCCAAGCCAUUCAGGGUGGGUCUGGAGGAGUAGUGAAGGGCAAGAAAAAGGAAGAAACAUCCAUGGCAGCGUCGGGUGCAAGAAAACACCGUACUCCCAGAUCAGAAAGGACCCUACAACACUAUUACCCCCACCAAGACGUGGCCUAUGCUCCUCAACCAUACAUGGUCAUGAAUGCUCAACCUUAUGUCCGGCCACAACAACAAGCCAACCAAAACCAAGCUCCAUUUCCUAGAAACCAUCCUCCUUACCAAAAUCACUACAACCUCCGGUCUCCACAAAACAAUUUCCACCCUCGUGAACCACCCAAGAGGCUAAACUUCACACCCAUCGGUGAAUCCUAUUCCAUCUUAUUCCCCAAACUUGUUCAGAUGGGUUUGUUGCAAACCCUUCCCUAAACUAGAUAAAACCCGGCAUCACCCACUUACAGAGCUGGUACCCGAUAUGCCUAUCACUUAGGGGCAGAAGGGCAUGACACGGAUGAUUGCUAGACUCUGAAGAGAGCCGUGGAGAACUUGAUAGAACAAAGGAAGAUAGUUCUAAGGGAUGAAGAUAUCCCAAUGUGACUAACAACCCACUGCCGGCCCACAACAACGGGCCGAUAAUCGGAAUGAUUUGUGGUGAUAAGGAAUUUGACACGGCGUUGAAGGGCAUCAUUGUCAUCGCUGAUGUAGAAAAGAAAUCAAAAGCUGCCCUGAAGCAAGACAAAGGGGAGAAAAAGAACAAAACCACCCAUCCAAAGUCAAAGAAGAAAAUUGAAGUUGAAACUGGGGCAAGGCCUCCCAAAGAUGCUAUUCUCUAUGUCCCUCGAGGCUGCAAAAAAAAACAGAUGACUUUGAGUCCUCCCAGGAGAUUCGAGCUGAAUAAGACAACCCAAAUAUAUGUGCCCAAGGGAGCUUAUGUAAUGCGGGGGCCAAUUAAUCCACCAAGGUUGAGUGAGCCUGUGGUUAUUGGCAGCGCACCAUAGAAGCCCAUGACAUAUCCUGCUGCUGUGCCAUGGAAUUACAACAAAUUGGUGGUGACCUAUAAGGGCAAAGAAAUCUUAGGAGAAGCUCAAGAAAAUAACAGUUGAAAAGUAUUUCAAUUUGGAAGAGGUGAACAAUGCCACUAGAAAGCGCUUCCCAUCUAAGAAGCCCGUGAGUACCGAAGAAGCAGAGGCCUUCUUUCAAAAGAUGAAAAUGGAAGAUUAUGAGGUGAUCGACCAGCUUCGAAAAUCUCCCGCACAAGUCUCCUUGCUAUCUCUCUUGAUGAACCCCACCGAACAUCAAAAGGUGUUGAUCAAGACCCGUAACGAAGCAUAUGUGCCUGUUGAAACUUUUGUAGAGCAGUUGGAGAGAAUGGCAGAAACAUUUUUCGCAAUCAACCAGAUCUCCUUCAGCAAAAAUGGCUUACCCCCAGAAGCGGCUGCACAUAACAAACCCCUGCACCUGACAGUCAAAUGCGAAGGGUACUACGUGAAAAGGGUCAUGUUGGACGGAGGCUCUAGGGUAGACAUUUGCCCACUCUCAACUCUGCAGCGUAUGAAAAUCGGUACCGAAAGAAUCCAACCCAACAAUGUCUGUGUGUGUGUGCCUUCGAUGGUAUCAAAAGGGACACAAUUGGGGAGAUUGAUCUAAUUCUGACCAUCGGCCUACUAGACUUUGAAGUAACCUUCCAGGUUCUAGACAUGGACACAUCCUACAACUUUCUUUUGGGGAGGCUGUGGAUUCAUGCAGCGGGGGUUGUACCCUAUACUCUUAACUAGAUGGUGAAGUUUGAGCAUGAGGAUCAAGAGAUUGUGGUCCACGGGGAAGAUGAGCAAUCAAUUUAUCGGGACCCAUCAGUCCCAUGUAUUGAAGCAAGAGAGGGGAGUGAGCACAUAGUCUAUUAGGCCUUUGAAAUUGUGGUUGCAGACCAGUGCAAAGAAGGAGACCCUUGCCCCAAACCCUUCCUUUCUAAUGCAUCAAUCAUGAUGGCCAAAGAAAUGAUCAGGCAUGUCUACAAAUCAGGGAAGGGUCUUGGGAAAUCAUCGCAAGGAAUAGCUAAACCUAUCACCCUGACCGCCAGUGAAAAGUUCUUUGGGGUAGGCUUCAGACCCACUCCAGCUGAUGUACGAUGGGCAGAUAAUAGAAAGAAUGAUGGUUGGGUCUUGCCUCAGCCGGUGCCGCAUCUGUACAGAACAUUUGUCAAGCCGAAAUACAAUGAAGAAGAGGAAGAUGAGGCCUUUGCGGCCGAAGAUAUCGAAGAAAUUUGUGGGGCCAUGAGGAAGAUACUGUAUGAAGCCCACAUGGUUCAACCAGGGGAAGGCUCAAGCACCGUUGAGGUGCUAUAUAUGGGACCUAAUGCCAAACUGCAGAAUUGGAAGGCUAUGCCAUUCCCAAUCAGGCAGGAGUCCCGGUAGACCUGUCCUGCCACUUUUUCUGCAUCACGAGUUAUUACAGGGUGUAACUCGGAUGUUUUCUUUAGUUUCUUGUUUUUUAAUUUCCAAUGUAAACCCUGAAAUGAAAUCAAUAUUUCAUCGUUCAUCUUUCUUUAUUCCUUCUGAUUUUUGUUAUUUUCUCUUUAUUUCUUCUUUCAGUACUAAUAAUGCGGCUUUAAAUAACAUGACAUACUUGCGGACUUCAUGCCUAGAUCCAAACACGCUGUCUAACUAUGAAAUAAUAAACCAAGAACCAGACUAUGAUGAAGAAGAGGCUUUUAGGGAAAUAAAUCGAGAAUUGGAGCAAUUUGAAAAUAAACCUAAGCCAAACUUAAAUGAUACUGAGCCGGUAAAUUUGGGUAAUUCGGAAGAGGUCCAAGAGACCAUGAUAAGUAUUCACGCAAAUGAAAGAACUAGGAUUGCUUUGGUCCAACUUUUGUUUGAGUUCAAAGAUGUUUUUGCUUGGUCAUAUGAUGACAUGCCAGGACUUAGUGUUGAUUUGGUGGUACAUAAGUUGCCAACUUACCCUGAUUAUCCCCCUGUUCAACAAAAGCAGAGAAAGUUUAAAAAUGAUAUCAGUGACAAGAUUAAAGAAGAGGUCACAAAACAGUUGAAAGCAGGGGUGAUCCGAGUGGUUCGAUACACCACUUGGUUAGCCAAUGUAGUUGCAAUUCCAAAGAAAGACAGGAAAACCCGAGUGUGUGUUGAUUACAGGGAUCUGAACAAAGCAAGUCCUAAGGACAAUUUCCCUUUGCCAAACAUCCACAUCCUCGUUGACAACUUUGCCAAACAUGAGAUACAGUCUUUUGUGGAUUGUUACGUUGGGUAUCAUCAAGUCCUAAUAGAUGAGGAAGCUGCAGAGAAGACAGCGUUUACAAUACCUUAGGGAACCUAUUGCUACAGGGUCAUGCCUUUUGGUCUGAAGAAUGCCGGGGCAACUUACAUGAGAUCCAUGACCACCAUUUUACAUGAUAUGAUGCACCAAGAGAUAGAGGUGUACAUGGAUGACGUGAUCAUCAAGUCCAAGACUCAAGAUGACCAUGUGCGGGAUUUGAGAAAAUUCUUUGAGCGGCUGCGUAAAUAUGAUCUGAAGCUGAAUCCAGCCAAAUGUGCAUUCGGGGUUCCAUCUGGCAAACUUUUGGGAUUCAUAGUCAGUCGGAGGUGCAUCGAGUUAGACCCAACCAAGAUAAAUUCCAUUCGAGAUUUGCCUCCUCCAAGAACCAAGAAAGAUGUUAUGAGUUUCCUCAGAAGAUUGAACUACAUCAACCCGAUUCAUUGCCCAGUUGACAUCCACAUUUGAACCCAUGUUCAAGAUGUUAAAGAAAUACCAGGCGAGUGCGAAGAAGCUUUUAACAAAAUCAAAGAAUACUUGUCAAACCCGCUAGUAUUGGUCCUGCCUGAACCAGGAAUGCCCCUUUUCUUAUAUCUGACAGUUUUGGAGAAUUCUUUUGGAUGUGUCCUCAGACAACAUGACAUGAUCGGGAGGAAAGAACAGGCAAUCUACUAUUUCAGCAAAAAGUUCACAAGCUACGAGGCCAAAUAUACCUUGUUGGAAAGAACUUGCUGCACUUUAACUUGGGUUGCUCAGAAGCUGAGGCAUUACCUGUUGGCCUACACCACCUACCUCAUUACCAGGUUGGACCCUUUAAAGUACAUAUUUAGAAACCAAUGCCCAUUGGGAGGUUAGCAAAGUGGCAGAUCUUUCUCACUGAAUUUGACGUAGUCUAUGUCACUCGCACGACAAUGAAAGCCCAGGCAUUAGCAGAUCACUUGGAUGAAAACCCAGUUGAUGAUGAAUACCAAUCUUUGAACACCUACUUCCCUGAUGAAGAGGUAAAUUUAGUUGAGGCAAUAUCCGAGGACACCAAUGCUUGGAAAAUAUUCUUUGAUGGAACGGUAAACACAAAAGGUGUUGGAAUUGGGGUCAUCUUGAUCUCACCCAAUGGUCAACAUUAUCCGGCCAUAGCUAGGCUUCGGUUCUUCUGCACAAACAACACUGCCGAGUAUGAAUCUUGCAUUAUGGGUAUGAACAUGGCAAUCGACCAAGAUGUCGAAGAGCUAGUAUCAUGGGAGAUUCAGAUUUGAUUAUCUGACAAGCUCAAGGAGAAUGGAAAACUCGAGAUGUCAAGCUUAUUCCUUAUAAGCAACAUGUGGAAGAACUUGGCAAACGAUUCAAGUCGAUAGAGUUCAGGUACAUCCCUCGUUGCCACAAUGAACUAGCUGAUGCACUUGCCACUUUGGCCUCAAUGCUGCCAUACCCAAGCAAUGCCCAUAUUGAUCCCUUGGAAAUCCAAAUCAGGGAAAUGCACGACUAUUGUAAUACGGUUGAGGCAGAACCAAAUGUUCAGCCAUGGUAUCAUGACAUCAAAAGAUUUUUGAAAACCAAAGAAUACCCUGAGCAAGCCAGUGGAGACCAAAAGAGAACCAUUAGACGGCACGCAAGUGGUUUCUUCUUAAGCGGCGAUGUGUUGUACAAAAGGACUCCGGAUCUCAACUUGAUAAGAUGUGUUGAUGCCGAAGAGGCUGGAAGAAUCAUGUAUGAAGUGCACGCAGGAGUGUGCAGACCCCACAUGAAUAGGUAUGUUUUGGCAAAGAAAAUCCUCCGAGCAGGCUACUACUGGAUGACCAUGGAAAGAGACUGCUUUAGUUUUGUUCGGAAGUGUCAUCAGUGUCAAGUGCACGGUGAUUUGAUUCAUGCACCUCCCACGGAAUUGCAUCCCAUGUCAGCGCCCUGGCCAUUCGUUGCCUGGGGCAUGGACGUUAUUGGGCCAAUCAAGCCAAAAGCCCCGAAUGGGUACAGAUUAAUAUUGGUCGCCAUCGACUAUUUUACUAAUAGGGUUGAAGCAAUCACUCUCAAAUCCGUCACCAAGAAAGUUGUGGUAGAUUUUGUGCACUCCAAUCUUAUCUGUUGUUUCGGUAUCCCUACAACUGUUAUCACGGACAAUGCUACAAACUUGAAUAGUCAUUUGAUGGGAAAUAUAUACGAACAAUUCAAGAUAAUGCAUCGGAAUUCUACUCCCUAUCGCACUAAAGCCAAUGGUGUCGUCGAAGCAGCAAACAAAAACAUCAAAAAGAUUUUGAGAAAGAUGAUCCAAAGUUCCAGGCAGUAGCAUGAAAAGCUACCCUUUGCAUUGUUGGGCUAUCGCACUACUGUGCGCACAUCAAUCGGAGCAACCCCGUAUCUUUUAGUUUAUGGCACUGAAGCCGUAAUACCCGCAGAAGUCGAGAUCCCUUCUCUCCGGAUCAUUGUUGAAGCUGAAAUCGAAGACAGUGAGUGGGUCAAAACCUGUUUGGAACAGUUGACCCUGAUUGACGAAAAGCGGAUGGCCGCAGUUUGCCAUGGGUAGUUGUAUCAACAAAGAAUGUCCUGUGCCUACAAUAAGAAAGUGCGGCCUAGAAAUUUUGAAGUGGGGCAACUCGUUCUAAGACGUAUUCUCCCCCAUCAUUAGGAGGCAAAAGGGAAAUUUUCUACCAAUUGGAAAGGCCCAUACAUCAUCAGAAAGAUAUUGCCCAGAGGAGCAGUGUACUUGGGAGACAUUGAAGGAAAUGAUCCCGAAGCAGCUAUAAAUGCAGAUGCAAUCAAGAGGCACUAUGUCUAAUAUUUCUGCAAUGAUAACAUUGUCUGAUUGGGAUGACGAAGGCUUUCAUUCUCGCUACCCNNNNNNNNNNNNNNNNNNNNNNNNNUCCCGAAGCAGCUAUAAAUGCAGAUGCAAUCAAGAGGCACUAUGUCUAAUAUUUCUGCAAUGAUAACAUAACCCUUUUAAGCCGGUUACUUUUCCCCUCUUUGGAACACAAGGAUGCGUGAAAAAAAAACAAAAAAACAAAAAUGUUUUUCCUGAACUACGUUCAACUUGAUUCUGAAAGGAUACGUAUGCAGCCUCUCUCUGGGGUUCAGUCACACUGAAACAAAAAUCCAAUUUCCCCCAAAAGUGAAAUUGGGGAAGAUGUUAUCAAUCGGCAAAAGGUUUUUCAAAAUCGGAGAACGCGGUCGUUUGGAUCUGGUGCAAUCAAGAUGAGAGAAAUAAAAUGAGAGAGUCUUAUUGGUGAAAAUCCACGGGCACCAUAAGUCAAUGGUGAGCAGAGAAAUUGAAAACAAGAGAGUCUUGUUAGUGAAAACUCGGAAAAGAGCACUAUAAGGCAAUGGUGAGAAGAGAAAUGAGAGAGGUCGAUUGGCGAAAACCCAAAAAUGGCGUCGUUGAUCGAAAAGAAACAACCCCUCACCACCACUGGUAUUGAAAGGGUCCUGGAAAGGUUCCUCGAUUUAAAAAACACGGGUCGCAAUGGGUUUAUGAGAAGUUGGGAUAGUUGUGCGGAUCGGUAGUCUAGUCCAAGAAGCAUGUCAUGUCUAUUUGAAGUCUGCAUGUACCCCAGAUAAGUCCAUCCUUCCAACCCGAAAGGGACACUUCUCCUUUAAAUUCAUUUUCUUGUCCUUUGUUUACUUUUUCUUGAAUCCCUUUCGGUCUAACUCUGUUCCGAAACUAAUACAAAGAAAAGAUGGCAAGAUUAGUUUUACAGGGUUCUGCUUAAUAAAAUCCAAGUCCAAAUAAAAGUACCCAGCCUCAGUAGGUGCAUGAAGUCGAUCCUGACUGGCCAUGAUAACUGAUGCUUUGAAAUCGGAGUUUAUUGAAAAUGAAAAAAAAUCCCAAGUCAAAGCCCCUAGAGGCAGAAUAAAAUGAAAGGACCAAAGCCUAUAAGCCGUCAUGAGAAAUUUUGAAAAGUUGAGCUCCUCGGUUUUAGGAUAGAGAUCAAUCUUCAGAAAAGCCAGCAAGCAGCAGAGGUUCCAACCAAAAGAGUUGAGCCAAGAUCAAGUGAUCAAAAACGAUGAAGGCCACAAAACCAACCACAGUUUCAAACUAACAAUCGUUCUUUGUUUGAAAAGUUGAAACAGGUGCAACCCAAAGCAACCGUGCGAGAAUCAGGUGCAACCGAAAGGGAAAAGAUGCACAAGAGCUAGAAACAGCUUGCCGCAACAACCACUCCAAAUAAGGGAAGUUCACUCCAAGUUUCUUUCCCGCAUAUUAUUGAAAAAUAAAAAUUUAAAAAAACUAUUAGCUUGGGACUCCCAACCUCAAUCUUUUAUGCUUUUACCGACAUUAGGGCCUCCAAUCCCUGAGUUNNNNNNNNNNAAACAGACACAAUUUAUAUUUUUAUUGGUUUCAAAAAAAAAGGGAGAAAUAAUUUAGAUUUUAGUUGCAAAUAACUCACGAAAUUUUUCUAGUGAAAACUGGGGCAGAAAAAUUUCGUUCGUUUGUUUGUUUUGAGUGUCUGAGCAGGUUUCAUCUCGAGGCACAAUAUUUGAGACGACCAAGAGAAUGAGUCUCAAUCCAAAAUAAAGAAAAUAAGAAAAAGAGCAAAAGCAAUAAACUCAAAGUGCUGAAGUGGAGAAGGAUGCGGACUACUCAAGAUAUGAUUGAAGUCACAGGCUUCGCGUGUCCCACUUUGAUCCACAGCUGAAGAAAGAACCAGCACCUACAGCUGACGAGCAUCAAGAUACAGAUCGGAAUCUGCAGCAAGAACCAGCCAAGACUCAAUAUCAAGCUUCAAGAGAUUUAUAGAUAGGAAUCUUGUAACUCGUAGUUGAUAGGCGUAGCUAGUUUAGCUUUUUACUUUCCAUUUUGGUAUAAUAAGGAGCUUAGCAAGCAGAAACAGCAGCAACAUCAGUGAAAUCACAGUUUUCGGUAGUCCCAGCUACCAAAACUUCCAGAACUACACUGACCUGAUUCCUUUAUAGCCAAGGAUAUGUAGGCAACCUCUGAAGCAAGGUUCGGUCAGACUCUUUUCAAAAAUGCUUCUCAUGGAGUUUUAAAUGGGCAAAAAUCCCUCAUAAUCGCUCAUUUUAUCUUUGCCCAAAAACCCUUUGUGUCUCCGAGCAAAGAGGGGCAGUUGUGAGCACGUGAUUUUUGCUCCACAUGGGUUACUCCUACAGAAUUCCAAUAAUUAGGUUUCUUCUUAUAAUUAUUUGUUAUUUUAGGGAUUUUUGUAGGAUUUUUAUUUAAUUAUUUGCAUUUUUGUGCAUGUUUAAGUUUUAUUUAAAUUAUGAAAAAUAUCAAAAAAUAUCAUGCAUUGCAUUUAGGAUUUGUUUUUGCAUUUUUAGAAUUAAUUAGUAAUUAUUUGCUUUAUAAAAGUUGAAAAUCACAAAAAAUAGUUCAUUUUUACAUUUUUAUCUUUUAACUUUUAGUUUAUUGAUUUUUCUUUUUAAUCUAGAGUUAAUUAUUGUUUAUAAUUUUUAUAUUUAAUUAGUUUAAUCUCACAUUCUAGGUAAUUUAGGAAUUUUUAAUUAUUAGGCUUGUAUUUAAUUAAAAAAUUAAAAAAAGAAGAAGAAGAAGAAAAUGGGUUUAGAAUUAAAAGAAAUUGAAAAAAGGGGUCAUUUUCGGAAUUGGACCAUUAUUCUUCUUACCAAGUUCGGCCCAAAAGUCCCCCCCCCCCCCCUAUACAAUUUAAUUGCAGCCCAAAAAGACCCCUUCUUCCAUGGUACGCCACAGCCCAAACCGGGCUGACCCACCAAAUGACCCGCCUGUUUUGCCCUAAGUAUAAAAACCCACUUAUAACAUUUUCCCCAAUUCCCAAACCCUAUACCUAAUAACAGAUGUCCCCCCCCCCCCUCUACUAUUCUUCUUCUUCGCUUGAAACUCGCCUCAACUCGCCUGAGUGUUGAACGAGUUCACUCAUUGGUCCCCCCCUCCACGUCAUCUUAUCCUCAACGGAUUUGUCAAAGGAGUACAAAUUUUCUCUCCGGAAUUGCACGAUUCUCGUACAGAAGGACAAUUGGUGGACGAAUGGGAGCCGUGGAUAGAUGUAAAUCGAUCCACGCCCUCCAUUUGUCCCAAAAUCUUAAGAUUUUCGGAUAUUUGAGCAGAAGAUUCGAGAAUUUUUUAGGGUUAUAUAUAGGAGGUAAGUCUUCUUUUUCAAGGUUUUAAGGAUAAUAGAGAGAAAAAUAUUGAGAGAAAACCGGGAAAAAUCUUCAGAGCCUAGUCGAAAUUUCUAGGGUUUUAGCGACCGUUCUGCUUCAAGUUUUUUUUGAGUCUAUUUCUCUGUUUUCAAAAGAAGAUAAAAAAGAUGGCUUGAGUUUUUGGCCCUCAUUUGAGUUCAUAUUUCCAAAAAAAAAAAAAAAUUCAGAAGCAAAACUUUCUAGACUUAUUUCGUUUUUCUUGAUUUCUUUGUUCUAAAAGAAGGUUUUGGAUCGAAUUUCGAGUUUAAGUUUGUGGUUGGGUUCCGAACUUUAGUUAUUUUGGAUUUUCUGUCCAAUUUUUGGUCGAUAUUUGGAUUUGCUCGGUUGGUCUGUGGAGCUGUUGUUUUUGUUGCUGAAUCUCUCCUCCCAUUUCAGAGCUUUCUUUUGAUAUUUUUCAGCUAUUUUGCCAAUAGGUAUGUUCUCCUUAAAAUACCUUCAGAACUUUUUUUUAGAUGUGUAAUUCUGGAUUUUGUUUUAGCCUAUUCACUUGUUAUUACUUGAAUAUGGGAUUGUCUUUUAGUUCGUUUUUGUUGUUGCUAUCAGAACUUAUUAGGUUUGAUUUAUUUUCAGCAUUGAACAGAGUGUUUGUAGCUUGAUAAAAAUGAGAUUUUUGUUGGAAAUUAGAUCUCUUUGUUUACUGGUGUUUAUCUUUUGGUCUUGUUCUAGAUAGAGUGAAAAUGUUUGAUUAGUUUCCCUUACUCUGUUGAAUUUGGGUCAUACGUGGUAAGUUUCAAACUAAGGUCAACUAUUCUAUUUUGAUUCUUGUUCAAAGCUGGACGACAUUUAAAACUUACUAAGAAAUAUUUAUGUAGUUGAAAUCAUGGUCAAAAAAUCAGUCUCUCUUUGUGGAUCCACAAAUUCAAGCUAAUGACCAUGGGAGCAGUAAAAGAGUUAAUUUGUUGAAAAAGGGUGAAUUAAUAAGGUUUGGUUAAAUGAGUUAAAAUUCCAUGCUUCGAACGUUACUAGGCUUGAUUUUCUUACUUAGCUUUUAUUUACCUUUUAUUUUACUCUGUUCUUUUUGUUUCUCUUAAAAUAUUCUUCCUUGUCGUAUUCUUGUGUUAAGCUAAGUGUUAAGGACAGAAAUAAAAGAAUUGGGUUUUAACUUUAAAAGGAAAAAACAUUGGACAGGGAAUGUUGUUUUCUUAUGAAUGGAUGAGAUGUUUGAGGAUUACUCUGUUUUCUGGAAGCCAUCAAAUGGAGUGAAUGUAGGCUAAUUGAAUGGCACUUGCUGAAACUCCAAGUUUGAAAUGAUAGAAUUUAUUUGUUUAAUUUUACUUUUAAAGUUGGGGUCUAUGCAAUUCAUUAUGGUAUUCUGAAAGAUUUGUACAUAAUAUUAUGUUAACAUAAUUCAUGAUAUUACUGAUUAAAAGCCAAUUUUAUAGAUAUUUGGUUGAACCUUUACUUGUUUGAAUAUUGGUCAAGCCAUGGACAAUAAUUUAUCUUUUGUCUCUUCUGUAUGAAUUCAUGGACUCUUGCUUUAGGCAUUAAAAUACAAAGUCAAGAAUGUGAUUUUGCUUUCCAUUCUCCUUGCUGGAAAUUCAAAACACCUUUAUACUUAUGAAAGUGCAAUUCGUUAAUUUA